UGAUAUAUAAUGCUUGUGUAUCGCAAGUAUAAUAAGCGGGAGAUUAUUGAAAACCUACCAUGUUACGUAUGCUCGUUCACCGGACGGUGGGUUAAAGGUAGCCCAGCAGUCCCAAAUAUCCGGCGAGACCUCUUGUUCAUUGGAACCAAGUUGAACCAGAUGCAACGGGUUGGAGAAAGGUAUACCGUGUGACGACAGCUAUUACAGAUAUACACACGCGCAAAGGUAUUAUCUAAACAUGAGCGUGCUACCGUUAAUUAAUUAUGCUUGCACUUGACAGAAAGGAUUCAAAUGUGAAUGAUUUUGUUGCGACGUUUCCCGAAUUAUAUCACUGAUGCACGUUAUACCUGCGGUAUGCAGAAAGCCAAGGACAAAGACCAUGCGAGGCAAACCGUAAUUUUCGACCUCCUGGACGUAAAGCUGGAAUAGGCGAGCGGAUGGCAAACUGCUUUAUAUCUGUCCAGUGCCGUUGCCGUCAAAAUGUACGAGCUCGAGUAAGGGCCAAGCGGUUGACCGAACUUGACUAAUUUGCAAAGAAUCGGCCCACCUUGAAACCUGUAACGAUCCGCCUUGUAAGAUAGAAACCCGUUGUGUGAAUUAUCGAGGCCGUGUAAUUUAUAUUGUUAUACCUGAAGGUAAUCUCCCAGGCGAGCUGUGGGAAUACGUUUAGAAUUGCCGUCAAGAGGUCUGCUACGCUAAGAUGUAGAAUAAAGAGGUGCAUUCUUGUAAGGUUCUUCUUGGGAGCAUCGUAUCCCCUGAGAUAAAUGGCGAGCAGCACCAAAGAAUUUCCAGCCAGAGCCGCAAGGAACAUCGCCGCCAGUGUCGCGAUUUCCCAAUUUGCCAAAUAUUCGUCUCGCGGAUCAUCCUUCUUGUUAGUAUUUUCAGUUGUCCCAUUCAAGCCAGCCGUCGUUAAUUCGAUAAUACCGGAGUUUUCACCCGUAAAAUUAACCAUUAUUAAACCCGUCAGCGUUGAAGCCUAUACUGACCGAAUUGCUUGUACGCGGCUUACUUUUCGCGAUCAGCUCUAUAGGUAUAUAAUUUAUAAUAACGCUGACGACAAUAAAAUGAAUAAUGAUUCUUCGUGACGGACGAUUUACGUUUCUUAUUCCUUUUACUCACACACUCACACACUCACACACACACACACACACACGCGCGCGCGCGCGCGCCCGCCCGCACAUUAGGUGAGUUGAUCGCGUUAGUUGUGCUCUCGGGUACAACGUAGUCGAUAUAUACGUAUAUAACGCGAGAUUAGUUAUUCAGUUGUUAGAUCGUUCAAAAAUAUAUAUUGUGAACUUCUUUGUUUUCAGAAAAAAAUUCCAUUGUUUAUCCGCAUCAGCAUUGCUAAUUUUCUUUUCCACCAUACGUCCAGCUUGACCCCUAAAGUCAAUUAUACAUCGCGCGAAUACUUUUUCUCGCACCCUGUGCAAGUAUGAUCCGUGCGAGUAAAACCGCGUGUUCGCCAUAUUUCGGUAUUCAGCUGCCAUUGAGUUUGUCACAUAAUUCGUUAUUGACGCAAAGUGAAACGAAACAUUGUCAACUAUAUAUAGUUACAUCAUUAAUAUGAUCCGAAAGUUCGCAUGAACAUACUAUGUGUAUGUGUAUACAUAUAAUUUCGACGCAUCAGAAGAAUAACGUUAUCUGAUCGGUAUACCACCGAAAAAGAUACCGUCGCAAGUUAUACCUAUACAUUCAUUUUCAUCAAAAACACGUUGUCGACACUACGGCGCGAUAGAUAUAAAAUCAAAAAUUGAAUGUGUUCGUUCGUUACGUCUGCAAAAGAUUUGCCUAGCUCAAACUACUCAAAUUUGACCAAGUUUUUGCGAACCAUCGUUCAUUUGAAAUUGAAUACGUAUUAUUACGAUAUACUCGGAUGAGAAAUCAGUCCAUUGUUUAUUAACGCAGGCUAUUCUGUUGUACCGUGCUUAGGCGAGUCAAUUAUAUGCACUCGUCGGUUCAGCACUGGGUAAUAAAUUUUUAAGAACCUGUAACCCGUGCGGGUCCGUUGUACGACUUGGUUUUUGGUGCCACGAGUCAUCGAAGACCGAAGUACAUCUGAAACCUACAGGUGACGAACGACUCAAGGCGGGUGUUUACUAAAAUUAGAUGGCCGGGCGGGGGGUUCCAACACACCACUACAACGGAAAAAAUGAAAUAGAAUUUAAUGUACCAAAAAUAUUAUAAUACAUAUAUAUAUAUACCAAACGGUGUGCAAAAUUAAUUGAUAACGAAAUCAUUAAAAUAACCCCCACACCUUGCAGGCUGUACGCGAAAAUUUCAACUGUCAAGUUAUGAAAUGCCUAAAUACAUGUUUUCCUAAUAUUCGACACUUGUCACCUAAUCUGAUUCCACCUAUUCGGAUCAGCACUAUAGCCUACUAUCAACCUGAUGGUUGUAAUUGCAAAUGUAAAAUUGCGUGAGCUGCAAAAUGAUUGUUGUUUCCUGAAUUACGUGUAGAUCAAAAUGUCGGACUGUAUAUCUAGCUAUCAACUGUGUAUCGAAAAAUUGAAUUGUGACUCUGUGUGUGUGUGUGUGUGUGUGUGUGAGAGAGAGUGUGAGUGUGUCACGCAAUCGUUUCGCGUCAAGAAAGUAAGUGUCGAAAAGGCAAAUGCACAAUUCGAUUCCAGCGUUUUCCAAAAUGGGAAACGGAUUUACCUUCUUAGU
rnacentral:lncRNA from 1 species